rnacentral:misc_RNA from 1 species
CGACGAACACGCACAACGCGCACGUACAGGCGCGCGUCAUCGACUGAUCCUUGCUCCUUCUUCACACUCGGACGCGCGACGCCCCUGUCCUGACCUCUCUCUCUCGUUCUCGCUGUGCUUGCGUUGCAAGUCCGCGCGCCUCUUCGUUUUAUUGUGUUUUCCUUGCGUCCCUUCGACGCCGUCCCUCUCUCUCACGCGCGCACGCUUAUCUCUCUCUCAUUGGGAGGAGAGGACGGAAGAGAGGAGGAGUGGUUGUGUCUCGUGGCCGCGCGUGUGUCUGUCCGUCUGUGUUUCUAGUUAUGUGUGUGUGUGUGUGCGUCUUGGCUGUUGCUCCAUCACCUCCCCGCCUCAUAACACCCACUUCACACAGCACCACUCCGCUUCUUCAGGUUCCUGUAGAUAUAUACUUGUUUGUUUGUGUACCCCUCCCGCCCGCUCCACCACCCCCCACCCCCUCUUGCUUUCUCUGUAAAAGUAUCACCGUGACAUCCACGCCGCCAGCAGUGCAGAUUGCCUUUAGAUCCCGGGCACACGCUGCGCCCUCAAGGUCCGAUCGAACAGACAGAGAGGCGCAUCUAGACCGCAACACCCUUCACUAUCUUACCUCUUCUUUCUUGUACCCUCCCCUUCUCUCGUUUCACCGCGUGUGUCUGUCCGUCUGUGUUUCUGGUUGUGUGUGUGUGCACGUCCCCGUGAGUACUUCUCGUUUGCCUCUCCUUAGUGCACGUGUACGGGAGUUCUUCAACUUCGCACACCAGACAGACGCGCUGCCCUAUCUCCCUCUCUAUCUCUUGUCUCCCCCGCCACCCUGUCAUUGCCACCCACCCGACGGCAUCUGCGUCGGCCGUGGCGUCCCCCCUCCCCCUCCUCCUGUGUGGGCGUGUGCGCGGGUAUUCCACGUCAACGUGUUUUUUUUUUUGCUUUUUCUUUGCUUCACUCUCUUCCUCUCUCGCGUUUUCGCCGCUGUCAUGCUCCGUGCCGCCUUGCGUCCGUCCUGCGUGCUGCACGCCGCGUUCCUCUCCUCGUUCUCCUCCGCAGCCGUUCACAAUGAAGCAGCGAGUGGGGCGUCCAUGGCCAGCAACGCCAUCUCCUCAGCGGCUGCGUCGCUAUGGAUGCAGAAUUCCCAGUCGCACGACGGUGCCGCUGCGACCAUGCACACACAGCAGACAGAUGUGACAGGAGCAGCAACAGCGCAGGAUCAUGGAAACGCAUUGGUCGUACUUGAAGAGGACAACACCAGUGGCAGCAACGGCUACGUGGACUACUUCAUGGGCGGCUUCGGCCCUCGGCAUCUGGCAGAGGUGACAGUGGUGCCGGAGAGUGCAGGCGCGAGGGCUCACGGGUCACGUAACCACGCGAACAAGGCAGAUGCGGCUGCAGCAGCGGUGGAGGCGUCCUCCUCCUCGGAGACGGCGACGGCAGCCGCCGCCGCUUUGCCCACACGGCGCGCCGGAGGCGACGAUGGCGCUGUGGCAAGGCGGCCGGUGAUCACGAAGGCCCGUCGAAUCCGUCUUGCAUCGGCCGCUUCGCAAGCGGCCGAGGUGCUUCAGUCCGUGGGCAGUCCUGCCACGGCUCUCCUGCUCAGCCAGCGCGUGCAGCAGCUGCAGGCCGAAGAAGCGCUCCUGAACGCGUCGCUGCAACGGCUCAAGGCAGAGCGCGACUUGGCAACAGUGCGGCACACGUGUGGUGAGGAACUCGACAACUACCGCCGUGGUGUGCAGCAACGCGAGCAGCAGGUGGUGCGUGCUGCCAUGACCGCUGGCACACGCUCUCAGGAUCCUGUCGUCAGCUACUCCCAGGAGAGCGGAGGCAGCGCCGGAGGAGACACGCUGCAGACGGUGGUGGAAGCCGACCUGCUGGGGAUGCCCGCCACCGCCGAUGCGGAGGCGGCCGCAGCUGCGGCGAAGAAGGCAGCUGCGGCAGGUAAGGCGGUGCAGAAGAGCGGCAGAGCCUCGCAUGCCGCUGCCACGGUGAUUUCCGCGAAAAAACGGCUGCGCUACGGCGCCACUGCGGCGGGCGGGCACAAGGCUAACGCCUCACCAAAGUCACUCUCACGGCGACCAGCUGCGCCAGCAGCCUCCAAGAGCAAGAGGCCGUCGCUAGCGAAACAAACGGCCCUGAAGGCGCGUGCUGGGAAGCAGCCCGCCGCAGUGUGCAAGGACGCAGUCAAAGCCAAGCCAAAGGCACCGUUGCGCAUGAAGGCGACGACACCAGCGUUCGCGGCGGCAACAGCCAAGGCUGCCGCUCGAAGACAAAAGGCGAAGGUCAAAGCCGCCGCCACGAAGCCGUCCCGGAAGCUGACCAAGAAGCCGACCAAGCCGCGAACAACCACGAAAGCGAAGUCAGUGCGAGCACGGCCCGCCGCGAAGGCAACGCCGUCGGCCCGCAAAACGGCCGCCAAGAAGAGACCGACGUAUGAGAAGCGCCCGACGCGAAGAUGAAGGAGUGCGGCAGGGCCGCUGACAAGCAACGCGAAAACAGCGAUGAGGGAAAAGAUGGAGCCGCAAGAGUAGGCACAAGGAGGGCUUGUAGAGAGCGCGCGAGGAGAGAGGGCGCUGAUCCAUGGGCAGAUGUGUGCUGCAUCUGUGUGUGCGUGUAUGUGUGUAAAUGGCCCACUUUCCCGCUCUCUCUGCUGAUCGAUAGGCUCCCCUUCUAUAUUGCCCGCCCCCUCGCACGCUUCUGUGGCCGUUGCUCUCUGUCUCUAUGUGCAUGUGUGUGCGCCCCCAUCCUCCCUUUUCUCUAUUUCUUAUUUUCUGUUUUUUUUUUCCAGUCUUCGUACCUCCUCCCCUCCCCCUCUUCCUUCUCCUGUCUCAUCCUGCACACAUGAAGACUGCGCAUGUGUGCAUGAGAUAAACAGGGGUAUGUGGCAGUCACAGCAGCGGCAUCUCUCGCAGCCGGUAAGUGGGCGAGCGUUAUUCCUCUCUACUUCAAUGCUGUCGAUGCGCUGCUGCGUAAGCCGAU